rnacentral:misc_RNA from 1 species
CGCACAUUGCGCUCCCUGGUAUUCCUAGGAGCAUGUCUGUCUGAGCGUCAGUACACACCCUCCGUCGGCCUCUUCUUUGUUGAGGGGUCCGAUCGGGUCCUGAGGGCUCGGGAGCGGCGUCUUCGGGCGCGUCCCCCCUCUAAAGUGGAAAGCCAGCGGCCCGCCUGCCCAUGAAAGACGUAGUAAAUCUCCUGAACCGUCCGCGAAGGGGUACGGUGCGGGUUCCCGCCCAUAAUCAAAUCUCCUCAAGGUUUGACCUCAGAUCAGACAAGAGUACCCGCUGAACUUAA